GGCUUUGUAGCUCAGCGGUAGAGCAGGGGAUUCAUAAGCCCAAGGUCGCAGGUUCAAAUCCCGCCAGAGCCA
rnacentral:tRNA from 1 species